GUUCUGUUCGUGAUAAAAUUCAAAGCUGAUGCGUGCAUUAUCGGCGAGGCAGGCGAAUAGUGUAUGUUCAUGAGGGAUGUUCAUCGAUUCAAAUGAUCACUUUUUCGCGAAUUCUCCAACCACUGCCUAUAGGUGCAAAUGUAAGCCUCGGGCAACCAUGACGUUAGAAGCUGCACAUCCAUAUCGUGCUGAUCAACGCGUAGUUGAUUGUGACGGACGUCAGGGCGAUGGUUCGGAUCCGAUCGCGAAAAUCAUCACCAAAAACCAAUGGGUGGGGUCACAAAUCGCCACUACCUGUCCGCAGCUACACUCCCAGUAAUGUAAAUUCGCAUGUAAAAGGAAAAAAAACGACGCCGAUGACUACAAGGGGGCCGGCUAGCAACGGUUCAAACGCGUACAAGGUUUCCAACGUGGUAGCGACUAAGAGUCUAGCUCGAAGAAAAAGGCUCCACGAAAGACAAAGCAAAAGUUGGAAUUCGCGCUAUCCUGUAAGCUUGCUGGUUAUUGUUU